rnacentral:rRNA from 1 species
UGAGGAACAUGACCUUCGGCGGGGGAGUAGCCGGCCCAACGGCCGGGUAAUACCGCGUACGACCACUUUGGGACAUCCCUAGGUGGUGAAAGCAGCAAUGCGCCGAUGGAGUGCCCCGCGGCCUAUCAGCUAGUUGGUGAGGUAACGGCUCACCAAGGCGACGACGGGUAGCUGGUCUGAGAGGAUGGCCGGCCACAUUGGAACUGAGACACGGUCCAGACUCCGUACGGGAGCA